CGCGUAGGCGGGAUGGCAAGUCGGUCGUGAAAUCCCUCGGCUCAACUGAGGAGCGUCGAUCGAAACUGCCAUUCUUGAGGAUUGCAGAGGAGACUGGAAUUCCCGGUGUGGCGGUGAAAUGUGUAGAGAUCGGGAGGAACACCGGUGGCGAAGGCGGGUCUCUGGGCAAUUCCUGACGCUGAGGCGCGAAAGCGUGGGGAGCAAACGGGAUUAGAUACCCCGGUAGUCCACGCUGUAAACGAUGACGACUAGGUGUGGGAGGGUUCAGUCCCUUCCGUGCCGCAGCUAACGCAUUAAGUCGUCCGCCUGGGGAGUACGGCCGCAAGGUUGAA
rnacentral:rRNA from 1 species